UACGUAGGUGGCAAGCGUUGUCCGGAUUUAUUGGGUUUAAAGGGUGCGUAGGCGGUCUAUUAAGUCAGUGCUGAAAUAUCCCGGCUUAACCGGGAGGGUGGCAUUGAUACUGAUGGACUUGAGUAAAGUUGAGGUUGGCGGAAUUGACGGUGUAGCGGUGAAAAUGCUUAGAUAUCGUCAAGAACACCUAUUGCGAAAGGCAGCUAACUAAGCUAAACUGACGCUGAGGCACGAAAAGUGUGGGGGAUCAAAACAGG
rnacentral:rRNA from 1 species